AUUGAACGCUGGCGGCGUGCUUAACACAUGCAAGUCGAUCGGUAACGCGGGGGCAACCCUGGCGACGAGAGGCGGACGGGUGAGGAACGCUUGGGAAUCUGCCUAUCAGCGGGGGACAACACGGGGAAACUCGUGCUAAUACCGCAUACGCUCUACGGAGGAAAGCCGGGGACCGCAAGGCCUGGCACUGAUAGAUGAGCCCAGGCCGGAUUAGCUAGUUGGCGGGGUAACGGCCCACCAAGGCGACGAUCCGUAGCUGGUCUGAGAGGACGAGCAGCCAAACUGGGACUGAGACACGGCCCAGACUCCUACGGGAGGCAGCAGUGGGGAAUAUUGGACAAUGGGGGAAACCCUGAUCCAGCGACGCCGCGUGGGUGAAGAAGGCCUGCGGGUUGUAAAGCCCUUUCGGUAGGGACGAAAGCUCUCGACCUAACACGUCGGGAGGUUGACUUAACCUACAAAAGAAGCACCGGCUAACUCUGUGCCAGCCGCCGCGGUAAAAC
rnacentral:rRNA from 1 species